rnacentral:tRNA from 1 species
AGGUGAAUAAGUUAAAUAAACUGCGGGGUUCAUGUCCCCUUAAUAUGAUUUUAUCAUUUCACCCA